UACGAAGGGGGCUAGCGUUGCUCGGAAUUACUGGGCGUAAAGCGCACGUAGGCGGCUUUUUAAGUCAGGGGUGAAAUCCUGGAGCUCAACUCCAGAACUGCCUUUGAUACUGGGAAUCUCGAGUCCGGGAGAGGUGAGUGGAACUGCGAGUGUAGAGGUGAAAUUCGUAGAUAUUCGCAAGAACACCAGUGGCGAAGGCGGCUCACUGGCCCGGUACUGACGCUGAGGUGCGAAAGCGUGGGGAGCAAACAGGG
rnacentral:rRNA from 1 species